ACUGUGAGAACGACCUUGCGAGAGAAUUGCUGUUUGCGUACCAGGCACAAACACUGAGAGGGGAGCCUGGAGUAGCGCGGCAGUAGGGAGCAAGAUGAAUUAUUCCGCACGCACAGAAAGCACUUGCUUCGGGUCACUCCAGUUUAGCCCAAGCAGCUGGCAUGAGAACCGAUAGAAUCUUCUGCUGAAGCAAAAAGAACUGUCCAGGUUUACUGAUGCACGGACUGGAUGAUGGUGAAACCACAGAUUUACACCUCUAGUCUAGGUGUGACGCCCCCUUCGAGUCUGGGUUUGAUUUGGGCUGUGUAACGUACGUGACAAGUCUUUGUUCCUGUGCCACAUUGUUCUUUU
rnacentral:lncRNA from 1 species